CCUACGGGAGGCAGCAGUGAGGAAAAUUGGUCAAUGGCCGCAGGGCUGAACCAGCCAAGUCGCGUGAGGGAUGACGGUCCUAUGGAUUGUAAACCUCUUUUGUCAGGGAGCAAAGGGCGCCACGUGUGGCGCUUUGCGAGUACCUGAAGAAAAAGCAUCGGCUAACUCCGUGCCAGCAGCCGCGGUAAUACGGAGGAUGCGAGCGUUAUCCGGAUUUAUUGGGUUUAAAGGGUGCGCAGGCGGAAUGUCAAGUCAGCGGUAAAAUUUCGGGGCUCAACCCCGUCGUGCCGUUGAAACUGGCGUUCUUGAGUGAGCGAGAAGUAUGCGGAAUGCGUGGUGUAGCGGUGAAAUGCAUAGAUAUCACGCAGAACUCCGAUUGCGAAGGCAGCAUACCGGCGCUCAACUGACGCUCAUGCACGAAAGCGUGGGUAUCGAACAGGAUUAGAUACCCCAGUAGUC
rnacentral:rRNA from 1 species